GACGAACGCUGGCGGCGUGCUUAACACAUGCAAGUCGAACGGUGAACGAGGGAGCUUGCUCCCUCCGGAUCAGUGGCGAACGGGUGAGUAACACGUGAGCAAUCUGCCCCGAACUCUGGGAUAAGCGUUGGAAACGACGUCUAAUACCGGAUACGACGCGGGAGGGCAUCCUCUCCGCGUGGAAAGAACUUCGGUUCGGGAUGAGCUCGCGGCCUAACAGCUUGUUGGUGAGGUAACGGCUCACCAAGGCGACGACGGGUAGCCGGCCUGAGAGGGUGACCGGCCACACUGGGACUGAGACACGGCCCAGACUCCUACGGGAGGCAGCAGUGGGGAAUAUUGCACAAUGGGCGCAAGCCUGAUGCAGCAACGCCGCGUGAGGGACGACGGCCUUCGGGUUGUAAACCUCUUUUAGCAGGGAAGAAGCGAAAGUGACGGUACCUGCAGAAAAAGCACCGGCUAACUACGUG
rnacentral:rRNA from 1 species